rnacentral:rRNA from 1 species
UACGGAGGGGGCUAGCGUUGUUCGGAAUUACUGGGCGUAAAGCGCACGUAGGCGGCUUUGCAGGUUAGAGGUGAAAGCCCGGGGCUCAACUCCGGAAUUGCCUUUAAAACUGCAUCGCUAGAAUUGUGGAGAGGUAAGUGGAAUUCCGAGUGUAGAGGUGAAAUUCGUAGAUAUUCGGAAGAACACCAGUGGCGAAGGCGACUUACUGGACACAUAUUGACGCUGAGGUGCGAAAGCGUGGGGAGCAAACAGG